AAAUCCUCGUGUCACC
rnacentral:tRNA from 1 species